UACGUAGGGUGCGAGCGUUACUCGGAAUUACUGGGCGUAAAGCGUGCGCAGGCGGUUCGCCAAGUCUGAUGUGAAAGCCCCGGGCUCAACCUGGGAACUGCAUUGGAAACUAACGGGCUCGAGUGUGGCAGAGGGGGGUGGAAUUCCACGUGUAGCAGUGAAAUGCGUAGAGAUGUGGAGGAACACCGAUGGCGAAGGCAGCCCCCUGGGCUAACACUGACGCUCAGGCACGAAAGCGUGGGGAGCAAACAGG
rnacentral:rRNA from 1 species